rnacentral:lncRNA from 1 species
AUGAAGCUCAAGUGUCUGGCCACCAUCGCCACCGUCUACUGGAAGUCCAACGAGAAAAGCGUCGAGGGAGAGAAGCAGUCGAGGCCGCCCACCCUCGAGAGCAAAAAGACCGGCGCCCAUACCGUCGACCACGGCAAGUCCAGAGCCGACAGAGUCCAAGCCAAUCGGGGUUGCUGCGGAAGGACGCCCUUAUGUUUGAUUCAACUGGCUUGUCUAGCGGUCUUACUCCCGGCUCAGUUCACAUUUCUCCCGUUCUUCUCCAUCAGAUAGCGCCUUCACUAGCUCCUUCGGUUCAUCGUUACCCUUUUUUAUAAGUUUGUUUGUAAAUAUUUUGCCUUCCUCCUGCAAGCCUCCAGCUUUCAAACGUUUAUCGGCUGCUGUUCAAUCACAGGAAAAAGACUGAAUAGUGUGAAUUCCUUAAAGUUUGUAAAUAGGUAAGUACGUGCAUAUCAGAUUGUAAACCGAGCGGGGAAGCUAGAGUACAUUCAUAUUAGAGAAGUGCUCAGCUGUUUUCUAUGUAGGCGCGUUUUCAACUUACCCGAAGCACCGUUGAGAUUAAAGGACUCGCUCAUCAAAAUUUCAACUAUGAAUUUUGAGAAAACUACGUUACCGCUAAAAAAAUAAAUUCUAGAAAAAUGAUUAUCGUCCUCCACUCUUUGACAUUAGAAGCAUUAAAUUAAAGCAUCACAGAUUAAUCUAUUCUGAAUAAAUCAGGCCCCUCUACGCCAUCUCGUUGUGGAGCUGAUGCGUCAUGCUCGCUUGGCUGACAUAAGGGUGUAACUACACAUUGAGAUGAGCCCAAAAAAGCAUUGAAUUGUAUGGAAAACAGGGUUCAUUGCAGAGUGUAGUUACGCCUUAUGCCAGGUAGGCGAGGAUUUGAACGCAUUGGCACUAGUAUGCUACAAUUCUAGAGGCAGUCAAAAAGCGCUCCCUAUCGGCUGAUUGCUUAAAAAUGCGGUUCUUGCCAAACGUAUGAACGUUUUUUGCUGAAAGAUAAUACGUGAAAAUCAAUUAAAUCAAGAGGAACUAUCUGCAUAGGUUUUCCACACUACAUUUUCCCUGUUCGCACACAGUCCGCACAGUGCCUAAUACCACGUCAUAUUGAUCGGAAUUCGAUGUAACCCAUGCAAAACAGGGCUCCAAAAUCAAUUGGAUGUUCAAUAAUAUAGUUAGAGAUACGUUUUACGAAUAUUGUGACCAAACAAUUUCAAAAAAGUUAAAAACACAACUGGAAUUGCGGGAUGGUUCAGUUUUGCAGUCAAAAAACGUAGUUUUGGAGAAAAUAUGUAUAAUUUGAAUUUUUAAUGUGCCAUGUUCGACGCAAAAUGGACCACUAGACAAGGUACGAAUUAAAGGAUUCUGGUACAUGUUUCUUACCAAAAUGUCACGCAAAACACGAUUCGCACAACGAAAAUGACUGGAACCAACUCCUAGCGAAGAUAUUAACGUGUUUAUUUCACAUUGACUACAAGGAAUUUGAACUGCCCGCUCAUGAAAAACUCAAAGCUCUACGUGAGUCAAAUCGCAUCGCGCACUACAACGGUUCAGGAAUCUCCUCAAUUGAGCAAUGAUCAUUUCCCACCAUGUGUUGUUCAAACAAUGAGCAAUUUGCUAUAGCUGAGCCAAAGUGUCAAGAUUGAGGUUGCCAGAUUUUUAUAUCGCAGAGACUGUCGUGAUAAACGUUUAGCGCGCGAUGUGAAUCUCGUAGAGCAUUGAGUUUUCAUGAGCGGGUGGCUUGAAUUCAGGCAUCAAGAAUUAUUGAAUAUCUUCGUAACGAGUUGAUUUCGGUAAUUGUCGUUGUGCGCAUCGUGUACUACGUGAAAUUUUGGUUAAGAAGCAUGUAUCAGAAUGCUGAAAUUCGUACCUUGUCUAGUGGUCCAUUGUCAAAGUAUUCCCAACCUCACGCCCUUUAUUCGCUCAAAAAUCAAUUUUGAAAGGCUGAUGCAAUUAUAAAGGCACGUAAGUUUUAUAGUUCCACCAUCCAAACGGACACAUUUAUUCAAAAUAAGUUUAUUUACUUUACUUAUGAAGUGUUCUCAUUACUGAUAGAUUAUUGUCAUGUAAACGUGUCCAAAUGUGAUUAAGUCAUCCUUGACAGAAUUUAAAAAACGCGAUAGAAUAUAAUAAUAUCCUUCGGAGAAUACACAAAAAAAACCCCGUAAUAUCUCAUUUCGUAGCUUGUAUGAUUCUGUUUCAGCUAACGAAUUUGCACUCCCAUAUCGAUGGCCAAAGUGCGAAACCUCGUAUCUCCGUUGCGACGUUUCGACAUUUCCGCUCCUUUUUUUACAUAUUUCUACGAAAGGAAACAAGCAAUGUUCGUAGCUUGAAAUUCGCGCAGAAUAUUUUUCAAAUACACAAGAAAAAUCCAAGAGAUUUUCAUGAAAUUAUGUUUACCAGUUUUCGAAGAACAAAUGAAGUAUAACAAGAGGUGUGCAAUGAUGCAAACGAGGAUAUAUGGU